rnacentral:rRNA from 1 species
CCUACGGGAGGCAGCAGUGAGGAAUAUUGGUCAAUGGACGAGAGUCUGAACCAGCCAAGUAGCGUGAAGGAUGACUGCCCUAUGGGUUGUAAACUUCUUUUGCCGGGGAGCAAAAAGCGGUACGCGUACCGCAUCGAGAGUACCCGGAGAAAAAGCAUCGGCAAACUCCGUGCCAGCAGCCGCCGUAAUACGGAGGAUGCGAGCGUUAUCCGGAUGUAUUGGGUUUAAAGGGUGCGCAGGCGGCGAGUUAAGUCAGCGGUAAAAUUUCGGGGCUCAACCCCGACAAGCCGUUGAAACUGGCUUGCUAGAGUGGGCGAGAAGUAUGCGGAAUGCGUGGUGUAGCGGUGAAAUGCAUAGAUAUCACGCAGAACUCCGAUUGCGAAGGCAGCAUACCGGCGCCCAACUGACGCUCAGGCACGAAAGCGUGGGUAUCGAACAGGAUUAGAUACCCGAGUAGUC